UUGUGAAUAGUGAAGGUCGCGGCUAUGGAGUGAAGCUAUGGGGAUGGGCUGCCAUGGUGGUGUUGAGGAUGGGGGAUGAUGAAGGAGAGGAGCUUAAGGAUGGAAAUGGGUGAUCGGAAGAGAGGUGUUGAGAGAAUUGAAGAAGAAGAAGCUUAGAAUUAAAGAGGAGAAAAUGGCUUUUAAAGAGGAAGUGCGAAUUUCGCACAAGGUGGUGGGUAGUGCGAAAAUUU
rnacentral:lncRNA from 1 species